rnacentral:pre_miRNA from 1 species
AAACCGACCCCUAAGUUUUGCAACUGUAACAGUUUUGGCCCCCCAAGGUCAAUUUUUGGUAAAAAAUAUAAUAAUAAUAACAUGUGGCACCUCACUUAGGGUGCCAUGUUAGUGUAGACCGAGUCAAAAUUGACCUUGAGGGGCCUAAACUACUACAGUUGAAAAACUUAGGGGUCGGUUU